CAUUACGGCCAUGCCACCCUGAAUAUGCCCAAUCUCGUCUGAUCUCAGAAGCUAAGCAGGGUCAGGCCUGGUUAGUACUUGGAUGGGAGACCACCUAGGAAAACCAGGUGCUAUAGGCG
rnacentral:rRNA from 1 species